UAGGGAAUAUUGCGCAAUGGAGGAAACUCUGACGCAGCGACGCCGCGUGGGUGAUGAAGGCCUUCGGGUCGUAAAGCCCUGUCGGAAGGGACGAAAAUUGCGGCGGCUAACAUCCGCAGCAUUUGACGGUACCUUUAGAGGAAGCACCGGCUAACUACGUGCCAGCAGCCGCGGUAAUACGUAGGGUGCAAGCGUUGUUCGGAAUCAUUGGGCGUAAAGCGCGUGUAGGCGGUCAAAUAAGUCGGGUGUGAAAUCCCUGGGCUCAACCGAGGAAGUGCAUCCGAAACUAUUUGGCUAGAAGAUGGCAGAGGAAGGUGGAAUUCCUAGUGUAGAGGUGAAAUUCGUAGAUAUUAGGAGGAAUACCGGCGGCGAAGGCGGCCUUCUGGACCAUUCUUGACGCUGAGACGCGAAAGCGUGGGGAGCAAACAGGAUUAGAUACCCCCGUAGUCC
rnacentral:rRNA from 1 species